rnacentral:rRNA from 1 species
AAAUUGAAGAGUUUGAUCAUGGCUCAGAUUGAACGCUGGCGGCAGGCCUAACACAUGCAAGUCGAACGGUAACAGGAAGAAGCUUGCUUCUUUGCUGACGAGUGGCGGACGGGUGAGUAAUGUCUGGGAAACUGCCUGAUGGAGGGGGAUAACUACUGGAAACGGUAGCUAAUACCGCAUAACGUCGCAAGACCAAAGAGGGGGAC